rnacentral:rRNA from 1 species
UACGGAGGGGUGCAAGCGUUUAUCCGGAUUCACUGGGGUUUAAAGGGUGCGUAGGAGGACUGGUAAGUCAGUGGUGAAAUCCCCCGAGCUUAACUUGGGAACUGCCGUUGAUACUAUCAGUCUUGAAUACCGUGGAGGUGAGCGGAAUAUGUCAUGUAGCGGUGAAAUGCUUAGAUAUGACAUAGAACACCAAUUGCGAAGGCAGCUCGCUACACGAAUAUUGACUCUGAGGCACGAAAGCGUGGGGAUCAAACAGG